GGGUUGUGAGGUUAAGCGACUAAGCGUACACGGUGGAUGCCCUGGCAGUCAGAGGCGAUGAAGGGCGUGCUAAUCUGCGAUAAGCGCCGGUAAGGUGAUAUGAACCGUUAUAACCGGCGAUACCCGAAUGGGGAAACCCAGUGUGAUUCGUCACACUAUCAUUAACUGAAUCCAUAGGUUAAUGAGGCGAACCGGGGGAACUGAAACAUCUAAGUACCCCGAGGAAAAGAAAUCAACCGAGAUUCCCCCAGUAGCGGCGAGCGAACGGGGAGGAGCCCAGAGCCUGAAUCAGCAUGUGUGUUAGUGGAAGCGUCUGGAAAGGCGCGCGAUACAGGGUGACAGCCCCGUACACAAAAGCGCAUGUGCUGUGAGCUCGAUGAGUAGGGCGGGACACGUGGUAUCCUGUCUGAAUAUGGGGGGACCAUCCUCCAAGGCUAAAUACUCCUGACUGACCGAUAGUGAACCAGUACCGUGAGGGAAAGGCGAAAAGAACCCCGGCGAGGGGAGUGAAAAAGAACCUGAAACCGUGUACGUACAAGCAGUGGGAGCCCCACCACCAAAGCAUUCUCUGGUGUUGAAGGCCCUGCAAAGCAGCAUCGCGGUGGCGGAGCGUCGUUUGCGACGCCCAACACACAAAACAAGCGGUGAGUGCUUUGGGGUGGGGUGACUGCGUACCUUUUGUAUAAUGGGUCAGCGACUUAUAUUCUGUAGCAAGGUUAACCGAAUAGGGGAGCCGGAGGGAAACCGAGUCUUAAUUGGGCGUUAAGUUGCAGGGUAUAGACCCGAAACCCGGUGAUCUAGCCAUGGGCAGGUUGAAGGUUGGGUAACACUAACUGGAGGACCGAACCGACUAAUGUUGAAAAAUUAGCGGAUGACCUGUGGCUGGGGGUGAAAGGCCAAUCAAACCGGGAGAUAGCUGGUUCUCCCCGAAAGCUAUUUAGGUAGCGCCUCGUGAAUUCAUCUCCGGGGGUAGAGCACUGUUUCGGCUAGGGGGCCAUCCCGGCUUACCAACCCGAUGCAAACUGCGAAUACCGGAGAAUGUUAUCACGGGAGACACACGGCGGGUGCUAACGUCCGUCGUGAAGAGGGAAACAACCCAGACCGCCAGCUAAGGUCCCAAAGUCAUGGUUAAGUGGGAAACGAUGUGGGAAGGCCCAGACAGCCAGGAUGUUGGCUUAGAAGCAGCCAUCAUUUAAAGAAAGCGUAAUAGCUCACUGGUCGAGUCGGCCUGCGCGGAAGAUGUAACGGGGCUAAACCAUGCACCGAGGCUGCGGCAGCGACGCUGAUGCGUUGUUGGGUAGGGGAUCGUUCUGUAAGCCUGCGAAGGUGGCCUGUGCGGGUUUCUGGCGGUAUCACAAUUGCGAAUGCUGACAUAAGUAACGAUAAAGCGGGUGAAAAGCCCGCUCGCCGGAAGACCAAGGGUUCCUGUCCAACGUUAAUCGGGGCAGGGUGAGUCGACCCCUAAGGCGAGGCCGAAAGGCGUAGUCGAUGGGAAACGGGUUAAUAUUCCCGUACUUGGUGUUACUGCGAAGGGGGGACGGAGAAGGCUAUGUUGGCCGGGCGACGGUUGUCCCGGUUUAAGCGUGUAGGUGUGUGUUCCAGGUAAAUCCGGUUCACUUUAACACUGAGGCGUGAUGACGAGGCACUACGGUGCUGAAGCAACAAAUGCCCUGCUUCCAGGAAAAGCCUCUAAGCAUCAGGUAACAUCAAAUCGUACCCCAAACCGACACAGGUGGUCAGGUAGAGAAUACCAAGGCGCUUGAGAGAACUCGGGUGAAGGAACUAGGCAAAAUGGUGCCGUAACUUCGGGAGAAGGCACGCUGACACGUAGGUGAAGUGAUUUACUCAUGGAGCUGAAGUCAGUCGAAGAUACCAGCUGGCUGCAACUGUUUAUUAAAAACACAGCACUGUGCAAACACGAAAGUGGACGUAUACGGUGUGACGCCUGCCCGGUGCCGGAAGGUUAAUUGAUGGGGUCAGCGCAAGCGAAGCUCCUGAUCGAAGCCCCGGUAAACGGCGGCCGUAACUAUAACGGUCCUAAGGUAGCGAAAUUCCUUGUCGGGUAAGUUCCGACCUGCACGAAUGGCGUAAUGAUGGCCAGGCUGUCUCCACCCGAGACUCAGUGAAAUUGAACUCGCUGUGAAGAUGCAGUGUACCCGCGGCAAGACGGAAAGACCCCGUGAACCUUUACUAUAGCUUGACACUGAACAUUGAGCCUUGAUGUGUAGGAUAGGUGGGAGGCUUUGAAGUGUGGACGCCAGUCUGCAUGGAGCCGACCUUGAAAUACCACCCUUUAAUGUUUGAUGUUCUAACGUGGACCCGUUACCCGGGUUGCGGACAGUGUCUGGUGGGUAGUUUGACUGGGGCGGUCUCCUCCUAAAGAGUAACGGAGGAGCACGAAGGUUGGCUAAUCCUGGUCGGACAUCAGGAGGUUAGUGCAAUGGCAUAAGCCAGCUUGACUGCGAGCGUGACGGCGCGAGCAGGUGCGAAAGCAGGUCAUAGUGAUCCGGUGGUUCUGAAUGGAAGGGCCAUCGCUCAACGGAUAAAAGGUACUCCGGGGAUAACAGGCUGAUACCGCCCAAGAGUUCAUAUCGCCGGCGGUGUUUGGCACCUCGAUGUCGGCUCAUCACAUCCUGGGGCUGAAGCAGGUCCCAAGGGUAUGGCUGUUCGCCAUUUAAAGUGGUACGCGAGCUUGGUUUAGAACGUCGUGAGACAGUUCGGUCCCUUUCUGCCGGGGGCGCUGGAGAACAGAGGGGGGCUGCUCCUAGUACGAGAGGACCGGAGUGGACGCAUCACUGGUGUUCGGGUUGUCAUGCCAAUGGCACUGCCCGGUAGCUAAAUGCGGAAGAGAUAAGUGCUGAAAGCAUCUAAGCACGAAACUUGCCCCGAGAUGAGUUCUCCCUGAGACUUUAAGUCUCCUGAAGGAACGUUGAAGACGACGACGUUGAUAGGCCGGGUGUGUAAGCGCAGCGAUGCGUUGAGCUAACCGGUACUAAUGAACCGUGAGGCUUAACCUUACAACGCCGAAG
rnacentral:rRNA from 1 species